rnacentral:rRNA from 1 species
GACGAACGCUGGCGGCGUGCUUAACACAUGCAAGUCGAGCGGUAAGGCCCUUUCGGGGGUACACGAGCGGCGAACGGGUGAGUAAUACAUCGGAACGUGCCCAGUAGUGGGGGAUAGCUCGGCGAAAGCCGGAUUAAUACCGCAUACGACCUACGGGUGAAAGCGGGGGAUCGCAAGACCUCGCGCUAUUGGAGCGGCCGAUGUCAGAUUAGGUUGUUGGUGGGGUAAAAGCCUACCAAGCCGACGANCUGUAGCUGGUCUGAGAGGACGACCAGCCACACUGGGACUGAGACACGGCCCAGACUCCUACGGGAGGCAGCAGUGGGGAAUCUUGCGCAAAUGGGGCGAAAGCCUGACGCAGCGACGCCGCGU